rnacentral:tRNA from 1 species
GGCUCUGUAGCUCAACUGAAUAGAGCAUCUGACUACGGAUCAGAAGGUUUCAGGUUUGAAUCCUGACAGAGUCACUA